UUUCCGUAGGUGAACCUGCGGAAGGAUCAUUGUCGAAACCUGCAACGCAGAACGACCCGCGAAUCGGUUUAAACAAAUGCAGUUGGCGGGCCUUAGGGCUUGUCGACCAAAGUCCAAGACGAUGGCCGUGGGGCAACCCCUACGUCCACUGUUGAGGGCGUAAAUAACAACCCCGGGCGCAAAUCGCGCCAAGGAACUAGAAGAAGAUGUGCCGUUGCCCUCGCACAGGAAACGGUGUCUUGGGGGCAGCGGCUUCGUCGUUAUCAAAUUUGAAACGACUCUCGGCAACGGAUAUCUCGGCUCUCGCAUCGAUGAAGAACGUAGCGAAAUGCGAUACUUGGUGUGAAUUGCAGAAUCGCGUGAACCAUCGAGUUUUUGAACGCAAGUUGCGCCCGAAGCCGUCAGGCCGAGGGCACGUCUGCCUGGGUGUCACGUAACGUCGCCAAGAAUCCCCUCACCCCUUCAAACAGGGAACAAUGAGGGACGGCGGAUAUUGGCCUCCCGUGCGCGUAUGCUUGCGGUUGGCCCAAAAUAUGUUUCCCGGCGCGACAGACAGCCACGACAUGCGGUGGUUUGCAGCACAUGCUCCCUUAACACCGUCGUGGGCUAGACUGGUGGAUCGGGAGCCAAAGACCCCGAUGCAAUGCAUCUUCGCAAAGCGACCCCAGGUCAGGCGGGGAAACACCCGCUGAGUUUAAG
rnacentral:rRNA from 1 species